AAAAAAAAAUACUAUUAAAGAAAAAAAAGGUUUUUUUUGCAUUUAGCCUUGUCAGAAAUUUUUUUCACAAAUAGCCCUACAAAAUUUAUAGUUACACUAUUGGCUCUAUCCUCGCCACACGAACGCUAUGUAAAUGUCGCUUGUGUUGUAGGUUAAGCUGAAUAUGGUGAAUCAUUCACCGUGUUUCGACAUGGUGAAUAGUUCAUUGUGUCCGUUUUACAUAUUGCUUAAAACCUUAGUAAGAAAAAUAAUGGAACACGAAGAAUCAUUCACCAUGUCUAGAGAUGGUAAACGAUUCACCUUGUUCCUUUGCAUAUACUUCCUCUCUCCGACCCUACUUCCCCACACAUUCUCUCUUUCUCCUUCUCUCUCUCUCUCUCUCUCUCUCUCUCUCUCUCUCUCUCUUGCUCUUUCUCUCUUUCUCUUUCUCUCCUUUCCUUUCUCUACCCCAACCCGAGUUCCCCACCGCCCCUAUCGGCAACUGCUGCCACCCCUGCACCUCUCUUAGCUGAUCUCUCAGCCCUCCGCCUUCUCUCUCUGCUCUUACCUUGAUUUCCUUGCCGUCGCCGUCGCCGCCGCCGCUUGCGAUUGCCACCAAUGCCACCUUCUUUCUCUCUCAACCCCCCUCCUCCCAGACCUCUCUUUCUCUGUUCUCUCUCAUAGAGCUCUCUUUUUCUCUCUACCUCCUUCCAGACCCCCCCUAUCUCUUUCUCACAGUCCAGACCCCCUCCAUCUCUUUCUCUCUACCUCCUUCCAGACCCCCCCAUCUCUUUCUCUUUGUCAUCACCCCACCUCUAGUGCCUUUCAUCGACAUA
rnacentral:lncRNA from 1 species